ACACCAGAUUAUCAAACUCUGAUCAUCUUUUUAGCUCGUUUACCUUCAGUAUAGCAACAGUAGCAAACAAAGCAUACAGUCCUACUAAGAUCUAGUAGCUAUAUAGCACAGCACGCAUGACCCUCUCCUUUAGAAGAAGCAAAGGAAACCCAUUUGGAGAGAGUUGAGGGGAUGAGAAAAUGGCUAGUGGGGGUGGAUAUGGAGAUGCGAGCCAAAAGAUAGACUAUGUAUUUAAGGUGGUGUUGAUAGGGGACUCAGCAGUUGGGAAAUCACAAAUACUUGCUCGAUUUGCUAGAAACGAGUUUAGUCUUGACUCUAAAGCUACUAUUGGUGUUGAGUUUCAAACUCGGACUUUAGUUAUUGAUCAUAAGAGUGUCAAGGCCCAGAUCUGGGAUACUGCUGGUCAAGAACGGUACAGAGCAGUCACAAGUGCAUACUACAGGGGUGCUGUUGGGGCAAUGCUGGUGUAUGACAUAACCAAACGCCAGACAUUUGAUCACAUACCACGCUGGCUGGAAGAACUGCGUAGCCAUGCCGACAAGAACAUAGUUAUCAUUCUGAUUGGGAACAAAAGUGAUCUUGAGGACCAGCGGGCCGUACCCACUGAGGAUGUCAAUGAAUUUGCUCAGAAGGAAGGACUAUUCUUCCUCGAGACCUCAGCAUUGCAAGCAACUAAUGUUGAGAGCGCCUUUAUGACUCUGUUGACAGAGAUCUUCAACAUUGUAAACAAGAAGAACCUGAUUGCUGGUGAAAAUCAAAGCAACGGUAACCCGGCAUCCUUGUCCGGCAAGAAGAUCAUCAUUCCAGGCCCUGCACAAGAAAUUCCAUCUAAGAGCAAGUGUUGUAGAUAAAGUCAAUUGUGAUUUGAUCAGUCCUGGCUUUGAAACUGCAUGCUUCUCUUUAAUGUGCUUCCAACAGCAAUUUUGUUUUGAAAGGCGUGAUGUAUUUAUUUGUAAAUCUUACCGUCUUAUAGUUUAGUUUGCAUUAGCAGCUGACAAGUUUCUUAUUUUGAGGUGAAGCUGAGUCGUAUAUUCUCCUCUCAAUCUCAUUCUCGAAAAGAAAAGGUUCGUAUUUUCAUUGAAUGUUUUGAAUACCUUUUAUACCCGUGCUUUGAAUUUCUGUAGUGCAGUGAUGGAAGGUGGAAGUGAAAAGGUUUAUGGCGGUUCUCUGUUACUUGAGAGGCUUUUUAGCAGUAGUUCCCUAUUCUGAACAAAAAGUUGCAACCACUGGUAGUGGAUGUGUCUAUUCUCUGCCCUCGGACUAGAGAUGAUAACGUUUUAGCAUGCAGCCAAGUGGUGACCAUCACGCUCAGCUUGGAUCUACCUUUCCAGCAGCCAAUGGCUAUCGUUGAAGCAUCCGCCUUGGUAGGAUCUGACAUGGCUUUGCUGUCUGCAAUCAAAACAAUGUCGUAAAUAGUGAAUACACAUUUAUCCACUAAUAACCCAAACAUGGUAGGUACUGCUACAUACCCUCAUAACUAUUACGCCACAACCCAUCAUAAGCUUUGAUGCCUUCUCAGCAUCAACAAAGUCUGCGAAUUUUAUUGCUUUAUACUGCCACAAAUGCUUGAAAUCCACCAGGGAUGUAUAUAGGUUUUUCAAACCAUACGAGAUCUUUAUCUUUUUUAUCUAAAAAGAUUUCUAACUUUGAAUUUCCUUCU